GAGCGAAGAGAGGAUCGUGCGCCUGCACCAGGAUGGCCGAGUGGUUAAGGCGUUGGACUUAAGAUCCAAUGGACAUAUGUCCGCGUGGGUUCGAACCCCACUCCUGAUUUUGAUGUCUCUGAACAACUUAUCAGAGUGCUUGGCAGAGAAGCAAUGAUUGCACUGGGUCCUUACUGAAGUGAGAUGGAAACUGCCUAGCAGAGUGUCUCUAUACAUUGUACGCACUAUAUAAAUACUUGUUGAAUAAAUGAACAACGUUGAAGUC